GCCACAACCAAUGAAGAAACAUGUUCAAUCGGGCGGAAAUAAAAAUCACGGAACGUAGAUUCCUUAGACCAAUCUGCCGCUUUCAAGAUAUCGUCCAGGCGACAUCCUAUCGUAGAAGCCUUUGAUGCCAUGGCACCCCUAACUGAAUGAGCUGAAAAAAAUCGAAGUAUUGAUACCCGCAGCCGAGAGGAGGUCUUUAACCCAGCGGGCAAGCGUCGGCGACGAGACCGGUAGAAACGGUGCUUUCAAGGAGAUAAAGAGUGGAGGCAAGUCAGUUGACCUCAGCAGCCGGGUACGAUCCAAAUAAGCCUGGAGACAAGCCACAGGACACAAAGCAGGUCUGAUGGAGCAUCUAGGGUAGUCCACCGACUUGGAAGCCGACUUAGUCCUCCUCGAGAUAUUAAACGACACACCUCCGGGGGUGAACGAGACCGCGUUCCAGUCCAGAGCCCUGACGUCCAACACCCUUUUACACGAAAGUAGACACAGAAGCAUGACCAGUUUCCAUGAUAACUGUUUGAGUGUCAA